CCCGAGUCCAGAUCCUUCCGGAACAGCUUCAACUGCUUCCCCCUCCUCUGCUGCCUGCCCUGGCUGGGCGCAUCCGCCUCGGGGGUGUCCGGAGCUGGGACCUCUGGGGCCGGAAGGCUCCUCGUCCGCGAAGACGUCGAUGAAGCUGCUGUCGAUCUCCGGGUUGUCCGACUGGUACUCCAUGCCGUUGAGCGCCUCUGUGAUGAGGCUGUCCAGCUUGGCGUCAUCCUCCAUGUCCAGAAGAUCGUCGGCUACGCUCACUGUUCUGCACCUGACCUUUUUUUCAUGUAACAACAUAUCCUGUAGAUAAUCCCACAACAUUCCGUGAAGAGGUUUCUCACUCUCUGUCCACUCGUCCUCGCAUCCAGGCUGCAGAGCACCCAGACCUGUCUGGAUGGACACUGGGCUGCUGCCUGCAUUCGGCCCUUAGAAACAAUACAGCAAUGGUCACCACAUGGCGACAGCCUGUGCUCCAAACGCUGUGGGCCUAGCUGCGUCAAAGGGCACCUGCGUUUGACUUUGGAAGGAGAUUGUCCAAUUGUCAGUCUCCGUGAUGGUUUUAAAAUAUGGCCACACAUUCUUUAACACUCCUCCCUUCAAGAGGUGGAGCCUCAUUCUCUCCACUUGAACACAGCUGAGCUUACCGCCUCACUGCUAAUGAACAGAAUAUGCUGGAAGGAGGGGUGCUGGACUUCAAGAUUGGGCCCUAAAAGGCACUGCAGCUUCCUCCUUGCACACUUAGAUCACACAUGUGGGGAAGCAGCUGCCAUGCUUUCCGGGCACUCAAGCAGCCCCGUGGAGAGGCCAUGAGGUGAGGAACAGAGGCCUCCUGCCUGUAGCUGUGUGAGGGAGCCAUCUUGGAAGUGGCUUCCCCAGACUCCGUUGGGCCUUUGGAUGAUGCUGCAGCCCCUGCUGACAUUCUGACCGCAACCUUGUGAGGGAAUUUGAGCCAGAACCACCCGCUAGGCUGUGCCUGCAUCCUGACCUUUGGAAACUAAGAGAUAAUAAAGGAGGAAGCAUGUCCUUACCCAGAGAUGUAUAGACUGAGGCCCAGGGAGGGUGAAGAACUGCAGGAAGCCACUGGGACUUAGCAGUAAAGCCUUUGCCACACUGUCCCAUCCAUCUGUUCAUGUAUCCAUCCAUCCACCCACCUAUCCAUCCAUCCAUCUACCCACCCACCCAUCCAUCCAUCUAUCCAUCCAUCCAUCCAUCCACCCACCUAUCCAUCCAUCCAUCUACCCACCCAU
rnacentral:lncRNA from 1 species